GAUGAACGCUGGCGGCGUGCUUAACACAUGCAAGUCGAACGAGAAGUGAAGACGGAAACCUUCGGGCGGAAGGCUUUAUUUCGAGUGGCGGACGGGUGAGUAACGCGUGGGUAACCUGCCUCAUACAGGGGGAUAACAGUUGGAAACGACUGUUAAUACCGCAUAAGACCACAGCACCGCAUGGUGCGGGGGUAAAAACUCCGGUGGUAUGAGAUGGACCCGCGUUCGAUAGCCAGUUGGCGGGGUAACGGCCCACCAAAGCGACGAUCGAUAGCCGAUCUGAGAGGAUGACCGGCCACAUUGGGACUGAGACACGGCCCAAACUCCUACGGGAGGCAGCAGUGGGGAAUAUUGCACAAUGGGGGAAACCCUGAUGCAGCGACGCCGCGUGAGUGAAGAAGUAUUUCGGUAUGUAAAGCUCUAUCAGCAGGGAAGAAAAUGACGGUACCUGAGUAAGAAGCCCCGGCUAACUACGUG
rnacentral:rRNA from 1 species